rnacentral:rRNA from 1 species
GACGAACGCUGGCGGCGUGCUUAAUACAUGCAAGUCGAGCGGUGAACCCGACUGAAAGCCUUCGGGCUUGACGUUGGGGGAUCAGCGGCGGAUGGGUGAGUAACGCGUGGGUACCUGCCCUAAAGUCUGGGAUAACAACUCGAAAGGGUUGCUAAUACCGGAUGUGACCGAGAGGUUAAAGGCAGAGAUGUCGCUUUAGGAUGGGCCCGCGUCCCAUUAGCUAGUUGGUGAGGUAAGGGCUCACCAAGGCUGCGAUGGGUAGCCGGCCUGAGAGGGUGGACGGCCACACUGGGACUGAGACACGGCCCAGACUCCUACGGGAGGCAGCAGUAGGGAAUUUUCCGCAAUGGACGGAAGUCUGACGGAGCGACGCCGCGUGGGGGAAGAAGGCCUUCGGGUUGUAAACCUCUGUCUUCAGGGACGAAGAGGGUGUGGGAGACACACCGAAGCCGGUACCUCGAGGAGGAAGCCCGGCUAACUACGUG